GCUCAGGAAAAUGAAAUUUACUUCUCAUUGAUCAUCUAAUAGAUAAUCUCUGAAGUCUGACAUGUGAAUAAUUUCAAAAUUCUUCAUCGCGUUUUACACCAUAUCAACUACAUAUAAAAUAAAAUUAAUAAAGUUCUUCAAGGGUCCCGCACACGUAGCUCGAUCAAAUUUAUACAAAAUGAGCGCUCUCUGCUCAUGUAUAUAAUCAGAAUAGCGUAUAUUGCCAUCAGGAGCCAAUCAAGCUCAAUUAUAAAAUACAUAACAGAGAGAUCAGAGGUUGGUUAUGGUUUAUCGGUCACGGUUAAUCUGAAACACGGACCAAAUUGUUCAUCAUCAUAUCUCUCCAUAUAUAUAUUACUCCUUCCGUUUCAAAUUAAAUAUCCACUUUCAAAAAAUCACACAGUUAAAAAAAAGUAAUUGUUCACAAAUUAAUUGCAUUAAAUGAGCAUGAUAUGUGGUGUGAGAUUGAUCUAGAAAAUAUAAAUAAGAGAUGUGUGGAAGAGAAUUGACUUAGAAAAUACUCUCUCCGUUUCAAUUUAGAUGUCCACUUUGAAAAAAAAAAUUAUGUUUCAAAUUACUUGUCCACUUCAACUUUUAAUGCAAAAUCAUAUUUCCAAAGUCAAUUCUACUCUACAUAUCUCUUAUUUAUAUUUCCUAGAUCAAUCUCACACCACAUGUUAGAAUCAUUUAAUGCAGUUAAUACGUGAACAACCACUUUUCUUAAACUGUGCGAUUUUUCGAAAGUGGACAUCUAUUUUGAAACGGAGUAUGAUUUUGCAUUGAAAGUUGAAGUGAACAAGUAAUUUGAAACAAAUUUUUUUUUUGAAGAUGGACAUGUAAAUUGAAACGGAAGGAGUACUAUUCACCUAAACGCUAGAAAUAAUUUGAAUUCAGUUCAAAAUUAUUUUUGAUAUUGUAGACUCCCAUUUAUCCUCUGUGAACAAGCAAAAGUCGAAGACUGCAUAUUAUUUACAAGAGAAUUGCAGAUGUUAUUAUAGACAAACUCCAAAGUGCGUCUAACAAAAAUGACUUUCAAGCUUUUGUUUAAGGCUUUAAGCUAAUUGCUAGUUCUGAUAUUAUAGUUCACCAUUAAACAAGAAGGUUUCCAGACAUACAUUAACAUUUAAUUCUACCGGCAGCCAUAUGAUUUUUUCCGUUAUAAUAAUUUCUUCAUACAAUAUUCAUCUACAAAACAUCCGGCCAUUAUAUCUUCAUUUUUCGUUGUAUUAAUUUAGCAUUAGCAUUCUACACACAAGAUGAGCCAAAAACAAGGGGAACAGGGAAAGUCAGAAUAUCAAAUAUGCCUCGAUAGUUUUUAACUCAUGGAUUUUCAGACAUCUAAUUUGUUUCAUCAUUCUUCCCAGUACAAAAUUUCAUAUAUAAAAACAAUUGUAACAACAAAUUAAAAGGCUCAGAAAAAAUGAAAUUUCUUCUCAUUGAUCAUCUAAUAGAUAAUCUCUGAAGUCUGACAUGUGAAUAAUUUCAAAAUUCUUCAUCGCGUUUUACACAAUAUCAAAAUAUAUAAAUUUAGAGCUCUCAUGUAAUUGAUUAUCUGCUCAUGUAUAUAAUCAGAAUAGCGUAUAUUGCCAUCAGGCAUUUUAAUCACUGAGCCAAUCAAAUACACAACAAGCUUAAUUAUAAAAUACAAAAACAGAGAGAGAUCAGAGGUUGGUUAUGGUUUUUCGGUCACGAUUAAUCUGAAACACGGACCAAAUUGUUCAUCAUCAUAUCUCUCCAGAUAUUAAUUCAAACAAAUACACACACACGCAGAGAGAGAGAGAGAGAGAGAGAGAGAGAUGAAAUCAUCAGAGACUUAAAUACUAAGAAUCACAGAGAUUCAUAUUGUUGCAGUUAUUUUUUCAUCAAUUGAUUUCACCUUUACUAAUUCACAAAAGACAUAUGAAACAAAACUUGAGAAUUGAUGAAGAAAAACAUACUAUGAAAACUGAUGUAUCAUCCUGUUUGUGAAUACAGAUCGUGUGAUAGAGAGAAUUUAUAGAACGCCACCAGAAACCCUAAAUUUUGCGGGCUGCUGUAGGGUUUUUGUGGGCCUAGGCUAUUAGCAAUUUUGUUCGUUUUUGUGGGCUUUACCCAUACAGGGUUAUAAUUUGUGUGACAGCCCAUAGUUGAUGAGUUGUCAGAUUCAUCAGAAAUUCAUACGGAGGGCC
rnacentral:lncRNA from 1 species